rnacentral:rRNA from 1 species
GCUUACGGCCAUACCACCCUGAGCACGCCCGAUCUCAUCUGAUCUCGGAAGCUAAGCAGUGUCGGGCCUUGUUAGAACUUGGAUGGGAAACCGCCUGGGAAUACCAGGUGCUGUAAGCU